rnacentral:rRNA from 1 species
AGCGAACGCUGGCGGCAGGCCUAACACAUGCAAGUCGAACGGAUCCUUCGGGAUUAGUGGCGGACGGGUGAGUAACACGUGGGAACGUGCCCUUUGGUUCGGAACAACUCAGGGAAACUUGAGCUAAUACCGGAUGUGCCCUUCGGGGGAAAGAUUUAUCGCCAUUGGAGCGGCCCGCGUCUGAUUAGCUAGUUGGUGGGGUAAAGGCCCACCAAGGCGACGAUCAGUAGCUGGUCUGAGAGGAUGAUCAGCCACAUUGGGACUGAGACACGGCCCAAACUCCUACGGGAGGCAGCAGUGGGGAAUCUUGCGCAAUGGGCGAAAGCCUGACGCAGCCAUGCCGCGUGAAUGAUGAAGGUCUUAGGGUUGUAAAGCUCUUUCAGCUGGGAAGAUAAUGACUGUACCAGCAGAAGAAGCCCCGGCUAACUCCGUGCCAGCAGCCGCGGUAA